rnacentral:rRNA from 1 species
AGUGGCGGACGGGUGAGUAACGCGUGGGUAACCUGCCUCAUAGAGGGGGACAACAGUUGGAAACGACUGCUAAUACCGCAUAGUAAGAAAGAUUCGCAUGUUUCUUUCUUGAAAGAUUUAUCGCUAUGAGAUGGACCCGCGUCUGAUUAGCUAGUUGGUAAGGUAACGGCUUACCAAGGCGACGAUCAGUAGCCGGCUUGAGAGAGUGAACGGCCACAUUGGGACUGAGACACGGCCCAAACUCCUACGGGAGGCAGCAUG